rnacentral:tRNA from 1 species
GGAGAUAUAGCUCAGUGGUAGAGAGUUUGCCAGUCUGUGCAAAGCCCUGGGUUCCAUUCCCAGCAUCACAG